GAUGAAGAACGUAGCGAAAUGCGAUACGUAAUGUGAAUUGCAGAAUUCAGUGAAUCAUCGAAUCUUUGAACGCAUAUUGCGCACUCUGGUAUUCCGGAGAGCAUGCUUGUUUGAGUAUCAGUAAACACCUCAACUCCCUUUUCUUUUUUGAAAUUGGAGCUGGACUUGAGUGAUCCCAACGCUUUCUUCCAAGAAAGUGGCGGGUUGCUUGAAAUGCAGGUGCAGCUGAACUUUUCUCUGAGCUAUAAGCAUAUCUAUUUAGUCUGCCUAAAAAACAGAUUAUUACCUUUGCUGCAGCUAACAUAAAGGAGACUAGUUCUUGUGCUGACUGAUGCAGGAUUCACAGAGACAGCUUCGGCUGACUUUGUAAACUCGAUCUCAAAUCAAGUAAGACUACCCGCUGAACUUAAGCAUAUCAAUAAGCGGAGGA
rnacentral:misc_RNA from 1 species